rnacentral:rRNA from 1 species
CGAAAGCCUGACGGAGCAACGCCGCGUGUGGGAAGAAGGCUCUUGGGCUGUCAACCACUUUUCUCAGGGAAGAAGCUCUGACGGUACCUGAGGAAUCAGCCUCGGCUAACUCCGUGCCAGCAGCCGCGGUAAUACGGAGGAGGCAAGCGUUAUCCGGAAUUAUUGGGCGUAAAGCGUCCGCAGGUGGCUUCUCAAGUCUGCUGUCAAAGGUCGGGGCUUAACUCCGUUAAGGCAGUGGAAACUGAAUGGCUAGAGUGCCGUAGGGGUAGAGGGAAUUCCCGGUGUAGCGGUGAAAUGCGUAGAGAUCGGGAAGAACAUCGGUGGCGAAAGCGCUCUACUGGGUCGCACCUGACCCUCAGGGACGAAAGCUAAGGUAGCG